ACGAACGCUGGCGGCGUGCUUAACACAUGCAAGUCGAGCGGAAAGGCCCUUCGGGGUACUCGAGCGGCGAACGGGUGAGUAACACGUGAGUAAUCUGCCCUUGGCUUUGGGAUAACUACCGGAAACGGUGGCUAAUACCGGAUACGACAACCGUCUGCAUGGGCUGGUUGUGGAAAGUUUUUUCGGCCAGGGAUGUGCUCGCGGCCUAUCAGCUUGUUGGUGGGGUAAUGGCCUACCAAGGCUUCGACGGGUAGCCGGCCUGAGAGGGUGACCGGCCACACUGGGACUGAGACACGGCCCAGACUCCUACGGGAGGCAGCAGUGGGGAAUAUUGGACAAUGGGCGGAAGCCUGAUCCAGCAACGCCGCGUGAGGGAUGACGGCCUUCGGGUUGUAAACCUCUUUCAGUACCGACGAAGCGCCGAUGAUGGUGGUGACGGUAGGUACAGAAGAAGCACCGGCCAACUACGUG
rnacentral:rRNA from 1 species